UAGCUAGGUUGUGGACAUUAAUUUAUGAGAUCCUUAAAUUUCUCCCAAUAUUGGAAGAAGGUCUCAUCCUCUUUUUGUGCAAAAUUCAUAAUUGUUUUCCUUAAGGUA